GUCAGCAGUUAACACCAAUGUCUCCUAUAUGCCCCGUAUAGCCGUUGCCAUUCUGCUUCAUUACCACAUGCUGAAACCUUUGAGCCUCAAAAUGCUGCCUGCAAUAAAUAUAUUUAGAUUUGACUUAUAGUUUGUUUUUUGUAGUUGAAUAUUGUGUAUCUGUCAUUCUCUAAGAUUCUUUAGUGAAAAUCUGAAAUUGUGAUAUGCCGAGUUAGAACAUUUUACUUCUUUGAGUAUAUUGUGAAAAAUAUACUCAGCAAAAAAAAUUGACCUAAGUCUGUGUCUUCCAGUGGAGGAUCCCAAGUGUUCAGAACUCAAUGAAACUGUUCCAGGUGUGUAAACACAGAGACACUAACUGCAUCACUCACAGUGGCUCCAGGAAUAAAGCAAGAGUCAAGAAAUAUUUGCCUGAAACUGGAGCGGCCUUCAAACAUAUUUAGAUUUGGCUUAUAAAGAAAAGGUAUCCUUUUAUUUGUUACUUCUUAAAGGAAAUUGAUCUUUCUAGGAUGGUGGAGCAGCUGCUGAAAGCUGUGAGUAUCAAGACUGCACAUCAGAGACUUUUUCAUUUAUACGUCAGACUUGUUCUAAAUUAAAUACUUGACUUAAUCCCUUGAUUCUGGUGUUGUUGCCUGUUGUUUUUUGUAUUGUUUUAACAUUUUUGAAGUGAGAUUUAUAUUGUCUCAAGAGUUACAUUUGUUAAGCAACAGUAGUUCAACCUUACCAACCUAGACACCUUUUCCUCUCUCCUUUUCUAAUCCUCCCCCUGGCUGCCUCCUCCCAGGUUUCUAUCCAUCUAAUAUAUUCUUCUGUUGGUUUUGACAUUCCUCUCUGAACUUUGUGGCAGAGCUGCUGCAGUUUGGAGACCGGGAGUUCUACAGGGACUGGCGGUGUCAUCCACAUACCUGAACCAAUGACUUGGUGGUGUUUCCAUGGUAGGAAAACAAAGCCCUCUUUUCCACCUUUUCCAUGUACAAAUUGGCCACAAUGAGUGAAACUGGGGAACCCAUGGCACACCCAUGUUUCUGCCUGUGGAACUGACCCAUUGUUCCAAAAGCAAACACACUUGGUCGAUGCUGAGAGUGUUCCUGUUGUUGAGGUUGGAAUCAUCCUGUAAUCUCUUACGAACUACCUCCAACGCCUCCAUGACUGGGAUGCAAGUGAAGAGAGAUGUAACAUUGUACAAGACCAUUGUUUCAUCUGCCUCCAUAAUGACAUCUCUCACCUUCUCAACAAAAUCCAAGGUGUUCUGGAUGUGGUGUUCAGAGCUGCCUAUCAACGGGUUGAGGAUCCAAGCCAGAAAAAUAGAGAUGUUAUAGGAAUUUAUGAAUGAACAUGUGUAGUAGAUUUGUGGUCUGCUUUCUUAUGACAGCUGGCCUUGCAUACAGGUCUCACACACAUGGCAGGAUUUCCCUUUAUUUCAUGCUGUCAUGUGGUAGUUAAAAAAGCCUCUUUAUUAAUUUGGAGUCUUAAUGAAGCCUUAAAAAACUGCGCUGCAUGCACUUCUUCAUGAAAGUAGCCACAAGGGGGCAGCUUUGAGCCAAGAUGGUCAGAGCUUUCCUCAAAUCAGUGGCCAGUUAUUCUAUUUAAAUUAUAUAAGAGCUCAUUGUGGUCCAUUUUCAGGUCAGUGUGAGACUUUCUGCUGAAUUACAGAGUGCUGAGUGUUUUAGAUAGAUCGGUGGGUUGUUCUGCGUCCUGGUGCGUUACUAUGGUAAUGAGGCUAUGAUUAAGGAGGCUGCUCUUAAAAGUGAGGAAGUGAAUUCCCUCCUCUGUGUGUGUGUGGCCUGCUUAAGGACCUUUGAGGAAGUCAGUUAAUGUCUCCCAGAGUUUGUGGAAUGAGGAAGUAAAACAGAUGAUGAAUGAUUCUUUCAGAGGACUUUU
ensembl:lncRNA